AACAAACAUGUGGUGAUUGAAGAACUGUUGCAGUUUCUCAUUGAGAGAUUUGACCAGAUCUGAGGAAUUAAGACCCAUCAGAUUUUUGGUUGAACUUUAUAAGGAGAAAAUUGGAUUCCAGUUGCAUUGUAAUGUGGCAGAUGUGCUGGUGCCAACUUACGAAUCGAGAGGAGUUGUCGUUCCUGACAGUCUUGGCAUUACCGAAGGCCUCCAGGAGAGGGUUAGCCUGGAUGAUUUGAUCCUCCAGUGUCCCCUAGAGAGUUGGAAGGCCCCAUUCGCAUUGUUUUACUCUUGGACAUACCAGUGCACAACUAUGGUAAAGCUCAACAUCUUACAUAAAUCAUCCAAGCUGCGUAACGUUCCUUGAGGUUGAAGAGAACAGACGGCUCAUUGAGCUGCUGCAAAGAAGAUGUCAGUAUUGGAGAAAGUUCUGAGGAACGCCUGAGAAAUAAGACAGAUUCAGCCAGAGGUGUUCAGUGGGGAACUACAACUCUCAGCAUGCCGGGCUAUAACAGUCUGACCAUGAAGCACAGAGUCCAGCCAGCGGUGAGGUGAAUGUCAUCGCCAUCUAGUGGUCGUAAGUGGCAUGUAUA